GCCCGUCUAGCUCAAUUGGUGGAGCGCAAGGCUCUUAACCUUGUGGUCCUUGGUUCGAGCCCAAGGGUGGGCG
rfam:Ipomoea nil DNA, scaffold: scaffold2151, cultivar: Tokyo-kokei standard.